rnacentral:rRNA from 1 species
UGACUGAGCGGCGGACGUGUGAGUAACGCGUGGGUAACCUGCCUCAUACAGGGGAAUAACAGUUAGAAAUGGCUGCUAAUGCCGCAUAAGCGCACAGGACCGCAUGGUCUGGUGUGAAAAACUCCGGUGGUAUGAGAUGGACCCGCGUCUGAUUAGGUAGUUGGCGGGGUAACGGCCCACCAAGCCGACGAUCAGUAGCCGACCUGAGAGGGUGACCGGCCACAUUGGGACUGAGACACGGCCCAGACUCCUACGGGAGGCAGCAGUGGGGAAUAUUGCACAAUGGAGGAAACUCUGAUGCAGCGACGCCGCGUGAAGGAAGAAGUAUCUCGGUAUGUAAACUUCUAUCAGCAGGGAAGAAAAUGACGGUACCUGACUAAGAAGCCCCGGCUAACUACGUGCCAGCAGCCGCGGUAAUACGUAGGGGGCAAGCGUUAUCCGGAUUUACUGGGUGUAAAGGGAGCGUAGACGGACGGGCAGUCUGAUGUGAAGCCCGGGGCUUA